UGAUGAUAUACUGGAUAGUAUUAAUUCCGAAACACGCAAUUUAUAUGUCAUUGAUGAUGUCAUGGGUGAGAAGGACGGAGUUAUUUCAAAAUUAUUCACGAAAAAAUAACAUCAUGGUAACAUGAGUGUGAUCUACAUUGUACAAAAUUUAUUUCAUCAUGGCAAAGAACACCUUACACUUUCUCUCAAUGCAAGUUAUUUAUGUUCAACGAAAAACGUGCGAGACGCAAGUCAAAUUAUAUUCAUCUCGCUAAACAACUGUAUCCCAGUAACACCAAAUUUUUUCAUCAAGCCUAUCAACUGGCAACCAAAGAUCCCAAUUCGUAUCUAUUUGUCGACCUAACUCCUACGUGUCCUGACGAGAUACGGAUUCGAUCCGGGAUCUUUCCAACCGAUACGCAUUAUGUCUAUCAACCCAGAGUAUAAGAAAGUGGGAACGUGUGUAAAAUGUUCAUUUGAUCAUGUCUGCUUGUAUGAAGAGGAACUCCGAACUUCUGAAAGUAUUGGCCAAGUGUAAACCUGAACUGAGAAAAGCUAUUUUGAAAGCGGCUGAAGACGAUCUGUUGAAGCUAUAAGACAGUGUCUAUUAAACGUUUGGUUUGACACGAUUAAACUGAAACCGAAAACAGCUAAACAACUUGCAUCGCAUUCCAAGCAUAUAAAGUUUGCGGCUGACAAACGAAAUCCUAUCGUAAAAAGAACACGUCUAGUCCAAAAACGGGAGGGUUUCCUACCGUUUCUACUCACUUCAGUUUUGGAACAGUUGGCUAACUUUUUAUAAUGGAACACGUCAAGCGAUUAGUACUUGUCCCUGAACAUAUGGCUGAAUAGCGAAAGAAACCUACCAUCAGAUCGUUUACCUCGCGAAAUAAGAAACAAACCUAGAGGGUAUAUAUCUAACACGGAUCCUUCCGAUAAACCUGGAUCGAAUUGGGUGGCAAUCUACUUUACAGAAGAUGGCAAAGGGGAAUUUUUGGAUUCUUAUGGUCAGGCUCCUCGAUUUUAC